rfam:Triticum aestivum genome assembly, contig: Triticum_aestivum_CS42_TGACv1_scaffold_642011_T_1DL-0.259630_7DL-0.185270
AUGGAAGUGAGGAUCCUUUCCCCAGCUGAUCGACUAUGAUUAUACUGUGCGCACAUGUAAUCCUUAUCAGAGGAUUCCAAGCCAGAAAUCUGAUCCAU